rnacentral:rRNA from 1 species
CCUACGGGGGGCAGCAGUGGGGAAUCUUUGGCAAUGGGGGAAACCCUGACCAAGCAACGCCGCGUGGAGGACGAAGGCCUUCGGGUCGUAAACUCCUGUCGGAGGGGACGAAAGCGGUUGGAGUGAAUAGCUCCAGCCGUUGACGGUACCCUACGAGGAAGCCCCGGCUAACUCCGUGCCAGCAGCCGCGGUAAUACGGAGGGGGCAAGCGUUGUUCGGAAUUACUGGGCGUAAAGGGCGCGUAGGCGGCCGAGCAUGUCCUUCGUGAAAUCCCACGGCUCAACCGUGGAAUGGCGGAGGAAACUGCCUGGCUUGAGUCCGGGAGAGGAGAGUGGAAUUCCCAGUGUAGCGGUGAAAUGCGUAGAUAUUGGGAGGAACACCGGUGGCGAAGGCGGCUCUCUGGACCGGUACUGACGCUGAGGCGCGAAAGCUAGGGGAG